rnacentral:rRNA from 1 species
GACGAACGCUGACGGUGUGCUUUAGACAUGCAAGUCGAACGCGAACACCCUUCGGGGUUAGUAGAGUGGCGAACGGGUGAGUAACACGUGGGCAACCUGCCCCUCGCAGGGGGACAACCGGAGGAAACUCCGGCUAAUACCCCGUACGCUUGCCGGACCGCAUGGUACCGGUAAGGAAAGGUAGCUUCGGCCAUCCGGCGAGGGAUGGGCCCGCGGUACAUUAGCUAGUUGGUGGGGUAACGGCCUACCAAGGCGACGAUGUAUAGCUGGUCUGAGA